GGUUAAGCGACUAAGCGUACACGGUGGAUGCCCUGGCAGUCAGAGGCGAUGAAGGACGUGCUAAUCUGCGAAAAGCGUCGGUAAGGUGAUAUGAACCGUUAUAACCGGCGAUGUCCGAAUGGGGAAACCCAGUGCAAUUCGUUGCACUAUCGUUAACUGAAUACAUAGGUUAACGAGGCGAACCGGGGGAACUGAAACAUCUAAGUACCCCGAGGAAAAGAAAUCAACCGAGAUUCCCCCAGUAGCGGCGAGCGAACGGGGAGCAGCCCAGAGUCUGAAUCAGCUUGUGUGUUAGUGGAACGGUCUGGAAAGUCCGACGGUACAGGGUGAUAGUCCCGUACACCAAAAUGCACAGGCUGUGAACUCGAAGAGUAGGGCGGGACACGUGGUAUCCUGUCUGAAUAUGGGGGGACCAUCCUCCAAGGCUAAAUACUCCUGACUGACCGAUAGUGAACCAGUACCGUGAGGGAAAGGCGAAAAGAACCCCGGCGAGGGGAGUGAAAAAGAACCUGAAACCGUGUACGUACAAGCAGUGGGAGCACCUUCGGGUGUGACUGCGUACCUUUUGUAUAAUGGGUCAGCGACUUAUAUUCUGUAGCAAGGUUAACCGUAUAGGGGAGCCGCAGGGAAACCGAGUCUUAACUGGGCGUUAAGUUGCAGGGUAUAGACCCGAAACCCGGUGAUCUAGCCAUGGGCAGGUUGAAGGUUGGGUAACACUAACUGGAGGACCGAACCGACUAAUGUUGAAAAAUUAGCGGAUGACUUGUGGCUGGGGGUGAAAGGCCAAUCAAACCGGGAGAUAGCUGGUUCUCCCCGAAAGCUAUUUAGGUAGCGCCUCGUGAAUUCAUCUUCGGGGGUAGAGCACUGUUUCGGCUAGGGGGUCAUCCCGACUUACCAACCCGAUGCAAACUACGAAUACCGAAGAAUGUUAUCACGGGAGACACACGGCGGGUGCUAACGUCCGUCGUGAAGAGGGAAACAACCCAGACCGCCAGCUAAGGUCCCAAAGUCAUGGUUAAGUGGGAAACGAUGUGGGAAGGCACAGACAGCCAGGAUGUUGGCUUAGAAGCAGCCAUCAUUUAAAGAAAGCGUAAUAGCUCACUGGUCGAGUCGGCCUGCGCGGAAGAUGUAACGGGGCUAAACCAUGCACCGAAGCUGCGGCAGCGACACUAUGUGUUGUUGGGUAGGGGAGCGUUCUGUAAGCCUGCGAAGGUGUGCUGUGAGGCAUGCUGGAGGUAUCAGAAGUGCGAAUGCUGACAUAAGUAACGAUAAAGCGGGUGAAAAGCCCGCUCGCCGGAAGACCAAGGGUUCCUGUCCAACGUUAAUCGGGGCAGGGUGAGUCGACCCCUAAGGCGAGGCCGAAAGGCGUAGUCGAUGGGAAACAGGUUAAUAUUCCUGUACUUGGUGUUACUGCGAAGGGGGGACGGAGAAGGCUAUGUUAGCCGGGCGACGGUUGUCCCGGUUUAAGCAUGUAGGCUGAUUGUCCAGGCAAAUCCGGAUAAUCAAGGCUGAGGUGUGAUGACGAGGCACUACGGUGCUGAAGUAACAAAUGCCCUGCUUCCAGGAAAAGCCUCUAAGCAUCAGGUAACAUUAAAUCGUACCCCAAACCGACACAGGUGGUCAGGUAGAGAAUACCAAGGCGCUUGAGAGAACUCGGGUGAAGGAACUAGGCAAAAUGGUGCCGUAACUUCGGGAGAAGGCACGCUGGUGUGUAGGUGAAGUCCCUGCGGAUGGAGCUGAGACCAGUCGAAGAUACCAGCUGGCUGCAACUGUUUAUUAAAAACACAGCACUGUGCAAACACGAAAGUGGACGUAUACGGUGUGACGCCUGCCCGGUGCCGGAAGGUUAAUUGAUGGGGUUAUCCGUAAGGAGAAGCUCUUGAUCGAAGCCCCGGUAAACGGCGGCCGUAACUAUAACGGUCCUAAGGUAGCGAAAUUCCUUGUCGGGUAAGUUCCGACCUGCACGAAUGGCGUAAUGAUGGCCAGGCUGUCUCCACCCGAGACUCAGUGAAAUUGAACUCGCUGUGAAGAUGCAGUGUACCCGCGGCAAGACGGAAAGACCCCGUGAACCUUUACUAUAGCUUGACACUGAACAUUGAGCCUUGAUGUGUAGGAUAGGUGGGAGGCUUUGAAGCGUGGACGCCAGUCUGCGUGGAGCCAACCUUGAAAUACCACCCUUUAAUGUUUGAUGUUCUAACGUUGGCCCCUGACCGGGGUUGCGGACAGUGUCUGGUGGGUAGUUUGACUGGGGCGGUCUCCUCCCAAAGCGUAACGGAGGAGCACGAAGGUUAGCUAAUCCUGGUCGGACAUCAGGAGGUUAGUGCAAUGGCAUAAGCUAGCUUGACUGCGAGCGUGACGGCGCGAGCAGGUGCGAAAGCAGGUCAUAGUGAUCCGGUGGUUCUGAAUGGAAGGGCCAUCGCUCAACGGAUAAAAGGUACUCCGGGGAUAACAGGCUGAUACCGCCCAAGAGUUCAUAUCGACGGCGGUGUUUGGCACCUCGAUGUCGGCUCAUCACAUCCUGGGGCUGAAGUAGGUCCCAAGGGUAUGGCUGUUCGCCAUUUAAAGUGGUACGCGAGCUGGGUUUAGAACGUCGUGAGACAGUUCGGUCCCUAUCUGCCGUGGGCGCUGGAGAAUUGAGGGGGGCUGCUCCUAGUACGAGAGGACCGGAGUGGACGCAUCACUGGUGUUCGGGUUGUCAUGCCAAUGGCACUGCCCGGUAGCUAAAUGCGGAAGAGAUAAGUGCUGAAAGCAUCUAAGCACGAAACUUGCCCCGAGAUGAGUUCUCCCUGAGACUUUAAGUCUCCUGAAGGAACGUUAAAGACGAUGACGUUGAUAGGCCGGGUGUGUAAGCGCAGCGAUGCGUUGAGCUAACCGGUACUAAUGAACCGUGAGGCUUAACCUU
rnacentral:rRNA from 1 species